UUAUUCACCCUUGUCUUUUGCGUACUUCUUGUUUCCUUGGUGGGUUCGCCCACCACUAGGACAAACA
rnacentral:rRNA from 1 species